GAUGAACGCUGGCGGCGUGCCUAAUACAUGCAAGUCGAGCGAACGGACGAGAAGCUUGCUUCUCUGAUGUUAGCGGCGGACGGGUGAGUAACACGUGGAUAACCUACCUAUAAGACUGGGGUAACUUCGGGAAACCGGAGCUAAUACCGGAUAAUAUUUUGACCCGCAUGGUUCAAAAGUGAAAGACGGUCUUGCUGUCACUUAUAGAUGGAUCCGCGCUGCAUUAGCUAGUUGGUAAGGUAACGGCUUACCAAGGCAACGAUGCAUAGACGACCUGAGCGGGUGAACGGACACAUGGGAACUGAGACACGGCCCAGACUCCGACGGGAGGAAGCAGUAGGGAAUCUUCCGCAAUGGGCGAAAGCCUGACGGAGCAACGCCGCGGGAGUGAUGAAGGUCUUCGGAUCGUAAAACUCUGUUAUUAGGGAAGAACAUAUGUGUAAGUAACUGUGCACAUCUUGACGGUACCUAAUCAGAAAGCCACGGCUAACUACGUG
rnacentral:rRNA from 1 species